GUUUCUCUUCAUGUAUCAAGCUGUAGGUCUAUCUCGCUGUCAAAGGAGUUCUCAUCGACUCUCGGUAAGUGGAAUGACGUCUAUAAGGUUUUAUCGAAUUGGCCUAUAUCCAUCAUUAUAUACAUAGGACUAAAGGAAUAUAUUGAAACAUAUCUAGCGAUACCAACUAGCCGCUACGGAAGCAAGUAUAUACUGGUGACUUAUAGUCAUCAGGGCUUUCUUAUCGCCAUGGCUGAAGAUCGCUCCAGUGUCUCCUUAUGGAAACUCCACAAUAAAAGUUUUGAAGAGCAC
rnacentral:sRNA from 1 species